rnacentral:rRNA from 1 species
GACGUAGGGCGCGAGCGUUGUCCGGAUUUAUUGGGCGUAAAGAGCGUGUAGGCGGCCAAGUAAGUCUGCUGUGAAAACUCGAGGCUUAACCUCGAGCUGUCGGCGGAAACUAUUUGGCUAGAGUCCGGAAGAGGAGAAUGGAAUUCCCGGUGUAGCGGUGAAAUGCGCAGAUAUCGGGAAGAACACCCGUGGCGAAGGCGGUUCUCUGGGACGGUACUGACGCUGAGACGCGAAAGCGUGGGGAGCGAACAGG